CCCUGACCUCGGAUCAGAUGUGAUA
rnacentral:rRNA from 1 species